AGGAAUCCUUUGCUAUGGGCCACAGCAGGCAAGAGGAUAAACUAAAAGUCUGAUUUUUGGGUGGAUGUUGAAAAUCCAAACCCACUUCUAGAUCCAAGCUUUACAGAUUUGUUUGAACACUCCUGACUUUCGGGGCAUUUGAAAUGCAGGAGCUGCUCUUCUACAAAUAGUGUUCACUGAGACUAUUAAACUGAGACUUGA
rnacentral:lncRNA from 1 species